GACCCUGCAGUGUAAUGGUUAGCACUCUGGACUUUGGAUUCAGUGGUCUGAGUUCAAACCUCAGUGGAUCC
rnacentral:tRNA from 1 species